rnacentral:rRNA from 1 species
CCUACGGGAGGCAGCAGUAAGGAAUAUUGGUCAAUGGACGAAAGUCUGAACCAGCCAUGCCGCGUGAAGGAUUAAGGCCCUCUGGGUUGUAAACUUCUUUUAUCUGGGACGAAAAAAGGGUAUUCUUACUCACUUGACGGUACCAGAGGAAUAAGCACCGGCUAACUCCGUGCCAGCAGCCGCGGUAAUACGGAGGGUGCAAGCGUUAUCCGGAUUUACUGGGUUUAAAGGGCGCGUAGGUGGGCUUGUAAGUCAGUGGUGAAAUCUCCGGGCUUAACCCGGAAACUGCCAUUGAUACUAUAGGUCUUGAAUUAUCUGGAGGUAAGCGGAAUAUGUCAUGUAGCGGUGAAAUGCUUAGAUAUGACAUAGAACACCAAUUGCGAAGGCAGCUUACUACGGAUAUAUUGACACUGAGGCACGAAAGCGUGGGGAUCAAACAGGAUUAGAUACCCUGGUAGUCCACGACCUAACGAUAGAUACUACGACAUACAGCGAUACACUGUUGUGUCUG